CAGUAUGCUUCCUGAUAUUUUUAAUUAAAUAAAAAUUAUAAUAAUAAAUAGAAAAAACAGCUUUGUUAUAUCUGCCAUGUCAUUACAUAAUUAUCCUGUGCUUAUCUAUCUUUCUAUCUAUCUACCCAUCCACCUAUCCGUCUAUCUGUCAUCCACCCAUUUGUCUAAUUUACCUAUCUGUCAUACACCUAUCUGUCUAAUCUAUCGAUCAUUCACAAGCAUUUAUGAUCAAAUGAUUGUUUCAUUAAAACAAACUACACAGGAAAUAAUAACAGUCCAAAUGAAUGCACACUGUAAAUGAUUGAAACUUACACAUCAGUUAGUGUGAACAACCUUGCUGUUGAUAAUAAUGGGAAUUAUUAAAAUAAAACUUAGCUAACAUAACUCAAGGCAGUUUCCAAUAACUUGGGUAUUUUCCAUUUAUGCACAUUCUAUUUGAAAAGCAAUAAAAUACACAGAGUACCAAAAUGAUGCCCUAUCUGUGUUUUGCGCCCCGUUUCCGAUCUCUCCCUGGUUGAGAACCACUGGCCUAUUGGAAUGACACUGGACUUGAUAGAUUCCGUGAGUCAUGCCGAGAACAACGAUACCAUUGAUGCCCUGGUCAAUCGAACUUGCUGUCUGCCAUUUUGAAUUUCGUUGAAAACAUUCUUUUUUGAACUCCUUCUCCUUCGCUGGCCCGAUUUUCAUCAAAUUCGAUUCAGAUCAUCUUCAGACCAUGCCAGCAAAAAGUUAGGGUUCAUAUACUUAACUGUUAUAUACUUAAUUGUCUCUGCAAGGCUUUGGCAUAUUGACACCAAACUUUGUGUGUCAGUGAAACUGCACAGUGACCACAUCACAUCACAUUAAUUUGGUCACAGCGUCACCUAUUGAUCAAAUAUGAUAAGCAAUUAAAUCAUAUAACAAUUGAUUGUAUUUAUGAACGUUCAACCAUUUUGCCUAAAAUCAUACACAAAUGUCUAAAACUGCCUUUUUUUUUUACAGUUGGUCUUGAUGCUCCCUGCCAUGCUUGUUUAGCUCCUUGUUUAGCCUCUUCAGUGCUUGGCCCCUUAAUUGCUGCUUGCAGCUAUAUUUAUUAUUGUUAUUAUUAUUAUGGAUUAUUUGGAGUUGUUUGGGGAACAGUGACACAUGGCACUCUCACAUUCCUAAUAGAUUUAUCACUUAAGGUACGUUCACACAUAGAGCGACUCACAGCGACAAUGCGACCAGAGACGUUCAUUUUCAAUGAGAUCUGGCGACUUCCGGUGACAUGCGCGGCAGCGACCAUUGGCGACCGGAUGUGGGCGUGUCCAGCGACGCGACAAAGUUUAACUUUAUGCAAAUUUGGAGCGACUUGGUGCAGCGACUACCAAUGGGAGUGAAGAAGAGUGAGCACACACCACCCCUGCUCACUAGCAGAGGCAGCGCCAUUGUGGCAGUAGCCAAUUAGCUUAGCUAAGCUUAGGAUCUUAGUGGGUUUAAAGCAAAAAUGUUUUAUUAUUAAAUAAAUAAAUAAAUAAAUAACAAUGAAACAUUCACUUUUUGUUGAAAUUGAGCAAAAUCCCAGUGUAGCUCCUAUCUUUGGUGAAGUGUCCGGCUUGUCGCUGCUUCGGCGGCCGGGAACGAGCAGCACCAAGCCAGACACUUCACCCAGAAAACACGGAGGCCACAGCCAAAUAGCUGCAGUCCGGCUCCCGGUCACCAUCGAACACAUAGUGAAUGACAACCUGAUGGUGACACUCACUCACUGAGAUAGGAGCUACACCCGGGUUUUGCUCAAUUGCAACAAACAGUGAGAGUGUUUCAUUACUAUUAUUUUGCUUUAAACGUACUAAGGCCAUAAGCUAAGCUAAUUGGCGCUUGUGCUUUUGCCGCAGUUAGACGGCUGAUCACACACCGCUUCUCCUUCAUCUCGUAAGAUAUGAUGCAUAUAUACACUGGUGAAUUUUAUAUCCUCUCUCUCCAAAAUGUUUCAUUUCAGCAGCAAGAAAACUUGUUUGUUGUCAAAAGUGUUAGUUGUACCACGAAUGUUAGUUGUACCACCCAUGUUACUAUGGCAACCAGUAAUAGGAACGCCUAACUGCGACUUCAUAGUACAGUGACUGGUGACUUGCAGUGAUAAAAUUGCUGUAUGUGUGAAGGCAGCAUUAUGCAGCGCAGUGUCCGUCACAUAUUAGAAGAUCUUUACAGAGGAAGCUGACAGUCGCAUCAUUGACAUCACGUUUCGAGUUUCGUGCUCGGCCACGGUUAGCGAUCACACUAGAUGUGUAUCAUGCUCGAGUCCAACUCUUCAAGCGGGCCUGGGCAUGGUAUGGAGCGAUCACCACCAAACUGGACUUUGGGGGUCAAACGUGCUCAGGCACGGUACCCAUCGUCUAGUGUGGAUCAGUUUAUUAACCUUCUCAAAGGGCAAGGAGUUAACCUGGACGACCGCAGUCUGGAACCAAGGAGGGGAACACACCUCAACUCACGAUCGAUUCACUGAACUGUUCCUCCACGUUUUUGACCACGCUCCAGAAGUCCAGCGACAGGUGUAUUUUAGGAGGUGGGAGGAAACCAGAGAACCCGGAGGAAACCCACAUGGACAUGGGGAGAACAAGCACAGAAACUCCACACAGACUGAAGCCCGAGCUCAGGACUGAAGCGGGGACCCUGGAGCUGUGAGGAGACAACGCUACCCACUGCAUCACCACACUGCUCAUAGAUCCACAGAGUUCCCCUUUUGUAUAGAUGGUAAUGAAUCAAAAACACAACAGCUGUGUAACGCUAAACUGGAAAUCAGCUGUUAUUAUUAUUUAUUUACUGAAUUUAUUUUUUUGAAUUUUGUCAAAGUAAUGAGAGUGUCACAGUUCAGUCCACAUCGACCGCGCUUGAGUUUUGGAAGGAAUGCAACUUAAAAAAAAAACCCAAAAACUCUCUCUAUGUAUAUAUGUAUGUAUGUAAUAAUGCAAAGUGUAAUAGAAAAAUCAUUUACUUGUAACUGUCACGUCUUCAUUCUGGUCUUAGCUGUAAAUAGAUGCGUGUGAAUUUCACACCUUUUUCUGCUGUCCCUCAUAUAAAAUGCAGGAAGUGAAG